CACGUGAGGGUGCGAGCGUUGUCCGGAAUUAUUGGGCGUAAAGAGCUCGUAGGCGGUGUGUCGCGUCGGCCGUGAAAACCUGCAGCUUAACUGUGGGCGUGCGGUCGAUACGGGCAUCACUGGAGUUCGGCAGGGGAGACUGGAAUUCCUGGUGUAGCGGUGAAAUGCGCAGAUAUCAGGAGGAACACCGGUGGCGAAGGCGGGUCUCUGGGCCGAUACGUGACGCUGAGGAGCGAAAGCGUGGGGAGCGAACAGG
rnacentral:rRNA from 1 species